rnacentral:rRNA from 1 species
AUUGAACGCUGGCGGCAGGCCUAACACAUGCCAGUCGAGCGGAUGAAGGGAGCUUGCUCCUGGAUUCAGCGGCGGACGGGUGAGUAAUGCCUAGGAAUCUGCCUGGUAGUGGGGGAUAACGUCCGGAAACGGGCGCUAAUACCGCAUACGUCCUGAGGGAGAAAGUGGGGGAUCUUCGGACCUCACGCUAUCAGAUGAGCCUAGGUCGGAUUAGCUAGUUGGUGGGGUAAAGGCCUACCAAGGCGACGAUCCGUAACUGGUCUGAGAGGAUGAUCAGUCACACUGGAACUGAGACACGGUCCAGACUCCUACGGGAGGUAGCAGUGGGGAAUAUUGGACAAUGGGCGAAAGCCUGAUCCAGCCAUGCGGCGUGUGUGAAGAAGGUCUUCGGAUGGUAAAGCACUUUAAGUUGGGAGGAAGGGCAGUAAGUUAAUACCUUGCUGUUUUGACGUUACCAACAGAAUAAGCACCGGCUAACUUCGUG